rnacentral:rRNA from 1 species
AGAGCGAACGCUGGCGGCAGGCCUAAUACAUGCAAGUCGAACGGACCCUUCGGGGUUAGUGGCGGACGGGUGAGUAACACGUGGGAACGUGCCCUUUGGUUCGGAACAACUCAGGGAAACUUGAGCUAAUACCGAAUGUGCCCCCAUCCUUAAACAAGAUGGGUGGGAAAGAUUUAUCGCCAUUGGAGCGGCCCGCGUCUGAUUAGCUAGUUGGUGAGGUAACGGCUCACCAAGGCUUUGAUCGGUAACCGGUCUGAGAGGACGAUCGGUCACACUGGAACUGAGACACGGUCCAGACUCCUACGGGAGGCAGCAGUGGGGAUAUUGCGCAAUGGGCGAAAGCCUGACGCAGCGACGCCGCGUGGGGGAUGAAGCUUUUCGGAGUGUAAACCCCUUUGACCCGGACGAAAGCCCGCAAGGGCCUGACGGUACGGGUAUAAGAAGCCCCGGCUAACACGUGCCAGCAGCCGC